UGCGGUCAGAUGGGCUUUCUGGUCCGUGGAUCAGAUCUUUAGCAAUACAGCUGAGCCAGGAGGACACAGAGAGGCAGAGAGGCGACGACACAGAGUCCACCCCCUCCUGGCUCUCCCCUAAUUCGAAUGCAAGGGCAUGCGGCGGCUUCUCGAAGCCCCGUCGAAUCCCUGAUGGAAGAUGCUGGCCUUGAGUUCUGGCUGGAUGCCGUGGACCAGUCCCCCCUCUGGGAGGAGUUCGCUGACAGUCUUGAAAAUCCAGAUCCGUCCCUCUGGCAUUAUUAACGCUAGACAAAGACAACCAUGCCGUGCCGGCGGACUCGAAUGCUGCCUCUGGAUGUGGGCAGCAAGUUGGUGGCGCCGUGCCGGAGAGGCCGACCUACGGCGUCGGGAGGCAUGUCCACGAAGUCAGCUGACAGAGUCAACCCUGAGCCGCAUGGUUGGAUGAAAAGGUAUUUCGGGUAAUUCCAUUGCUUGUGUAAUAACUGUAUAUCUCCAAAAAUGAGUGCAUGUUGAUCUCCUCAGGCAUGACUAGUUCAAUUUUGGGCGACUGCAACCUGACGAUAUGAUUUGGUUAACUGACCCUGAUACUUGGUACUGAUGAUUAAUUGUUAAAUGUGCUUAGACGUCAAAUAUGUCAGUAAUUGUCUACUGCAGCUGAAAAUUGUGUAAAGGAAUGGUUUGCUUAAAAAAGUCUGGUUACAUCUCAGUAGUGUACUACCAGACCGGACGCCAUGUCCUUCUAGGAUAAGUACACUAGAUCGAGCUUACCAAAAAUGUAAUUAGACCGUAACUCAGGCCAAGUUUUUAUUCACUAGGCGGGGCAUAUGACUUCUACAACUUGUAUUCCUGGGAGAUCAGAAUCGGAAUUCGGUAUGGCAACAGCUUUCCUUUAGAUGUUUCCAUCGGCGGUUGAAUCAUUGCAAGUGUGACGACGGGGUAACUGACAGCGGUGUCGCUGGAGCAAGAGUAGAGGUUCAGUUCCCGGACACUUCGAACUUGGGGUUGCAGCAAGUGCUUGGAGCACGAAUUUGAUGCUGGAGCAAGAAGGCCAUGGCGUGGACGAGGUGAGCGGAAGUGUUACCACUGUUGUGUUGUCUGUUGAUCUCCGGACGAUUUGUUUGAAAACCAAAACCGGCUGCAUUUCCAUGGAGAGGUGAUUCAGCGGGGGGCCUCAUUCGGAUAAGAUCUGCAAGCAGGAGUUGGACAACAAGAGCGGAGAUGGUUCACUUGAAGGAUUCGGCGAGCAUGACCCAGCCGGUGGCGCGCUGGCCGACUUCCAUGGUGUUGACACUGAUAUGGACAAUGGAUCUCGCGUGAUCUGUGGUGCCGAAGAGGUUGAUUCCAGUGGAGAAGAGGUGAGCAGCAGGUAAGCGAAACGACGGCGUACACAGGCUUGUUUUGCGACGUGAGCGUAUCACCAGAGGAAAGAACUGUGUUUCCACUGCUCCCCUUGUCCAAGAUGGGCACACCAUCUUCAACAGAUUGUUGUAUUGUGCGUGCGGUGUGUUUUAGAUUGCAGAUAAAAAGAAAACCUGAUAGUGUGUUUAUAUGAUGACUAACUCUAGUUUGUCCCACUGGCGGAGUACGCGUACAGUUGCAUCUUUUUGACGGUACAUUAUUAUUUUUUCCUUAGCUCUACCCCAAAUUGUUUUUUUAUUUAGCAUUGUGAUCGGCAGUAAAAAAUAAAUGUUGCAGCGUGUGAUUAAUUUUAUGCGUAGGUGGUGCUUAGAUAGUGAGCAGAGGUAAAAUAGGGGAAAAAAGACUGCCUGUUAUUUGGUUUUGGAUUUAAAAAUUCUACUCGGCCCUGAUUAAAAAAGGUUACGGCAUUUGACGAAACUUUGGUGUGCAGCUAAAAAAACAAAGACUGUCGUGGUGGUUUGUUUUCGAUUUAAAAAUUCUGGUCACUCGUUAAUAUAUGUUGCCGCAUUUGAUUAACUUGCGAGUGGAUAGUGCUUAGAUAAGCAGCAGCGGUGUGUUAGGGGAAAAAGGAUUGCCCUGAGGGCCUGCGGCGUGGUACGGAGACGGCUCAGCGGCUCAGCCUAGCACAGAAAAAAGCUUGAGCCGUGACCCCAACUGUUCGGCCUCUAUCUUAACAGCUUUCAUUGCACUUAAUGCUUCCAUCACUGUAUUUAUUUACUUACCAUACAUCUGCUAUACAGAGAGGAAUACAUCACCCAGCACACAUCCACAUGCUAGCGGACGAUGAAGAUUUCAGGAGCAGCUUAGCCUGAGCUCAGAAACGAAUAUCCCAUGCUAAUUCCACACUUGUGCUUUAAAGUAGCACCAUAUUUUUUCAUAUAAAGAGUCUCUUAUAAUGUCAUUUUCAUAUACUAGUGAAAAUUUUUCAUUAUAGAGUUUGAUGCACACCCACUCAGUUUUCAUAUUGAGCUUUCAUACACUUAUAGCUCUUAGUGCAUUCAUUGCAUGAUAAUCCCUACUCACAUUAAUAUCAAUUAAUGGGCAUCUCCAUAGCCCGUUGGUUAGCCGCGCUGAUGUGAGACUUUCUUACUUUUUUGUCUUCUCUAUAUUUACCCCUAUCAUCGUACUCUAUUCCACCUAUAGUGCUAUAUCCAUGACUUUCGCUCAUUUAUUGCGUGCAGGUUGAAAAAGCUGAAGCGCGUUAAAAAGUAUGAACCAAUUGCUCGACUUGUCAUCGGGGUUGUGCAUGAUAAAUACUUUGUAUUAAGAAGACAGAGCAUGACAAGACUAUGAUUUUGUAGGGAUAACUUUCUUUACCGUUGAUAUUUUGAAAGACACGACUAUUUGUUGGGAUGACUGAGUAUUGAUGUCUUUAUGUCAAAUUAUAGACUGUUGCAUUGAAUUACUCGUGUCUUGACAUUCAUGCCAUGAUUUGAUAUAUGAAGACUAUGUUAGGUAGCAUUCCACAUCAAAAA